AGUGAACGCUGGCGGUAGGCCUAACACAUGCAAGUCGAACGGCAGCACAGUAAGAGCUUGCUCUUACGGGUGGCGAGUGGCGGACGGGUGAGGAAUACAUCGGAAUCUACUUUUUCGUGGGGGAUAACGUAGGGAAACUUACGCUAAUACCGCAUACGACCUACGGGUGAAAGCAGGGGAUCUUCGGACCUUGCGCGAUUGAAUGAGCCGAUGUCGGAUUAGCUAGUUGGCGGGGUAAAGGCCCACCAAGGCGACGAUCCGUAGCUGGUCUGAGAGGAUGAUCAGCCACACUGGGACUGAGUCACGGUCCAGACUCCUACGGGAGGCAGCAGUGGGGAAUAUUGGACAAUGGGCGCAAGCCUGAUCCAGCCAUACCGCGUGGGUGAAGAAGGCCUUCGGGUUGUAAAGCCCUUUUGUUGGGAAAGAAAAGCAGCAGGUUAAUACCCCGCUGUUCUGACGGUACCCAAAGAAUAAGCACCGGCUAACUUCGCG
rnacentral:rRNA from 1 species